ensembl:lncRNA
CACUGAGCCCUGGGUGCCUGAUUCUCCAGAAAAGAAUCAUGAACUUGAAGAGCUAGCGACUGAAGAAAUGAACUACAAAUCUGCAUACAUUAGAAGAUGGGAUAUUACUGAUUUGAUGUCUCAUGGAGAUCUCAGAGGAGCUUGGUUGCAGCUGGAAAUGGAACUGAACAGAAAAAAAACUUCAACAGCAAAAACUGGACGAGGUGGGGGAAAGAAUUAAAGCUGCUCCCCAGGCAUGAUAAUUCAUGAAACUUCCAAUUUUGGAGACUUGACACCUUUAUUGCAGCAGCUGGUGCUAACUGCUGUAGGAGACUGUGGGACAGCUGAUGUAUUGCACCCAGUCAAUUUUCUCCAACCUAUGGAGCUCAGAGUCCUGGCACAAGGACCUUCCACUCUGACCGCCAAGCUUUCCCCCAGAGAACAAGCUAUGUUGGCA